rnacentral:rRNA from 1 species
UACGUAGGGUGCGAGCGUUGUCCGGAAUUAUUGGGCGUAAAGAGCUCGUAGGCGGUGUGUCGCGUCGGUCGUGAAAACUUGGGGCUUAACCCUGAGCUUGCGGUCGAUACGGGCAUCACUGGAGUUCGGCAGGGGAGACUGGAAUUCCUGGUGUAGCGGUGAAAUGCGCAGAUAUCAGGAGGAACACCGGUGGCGAAGGCGGUUCUCUGGGCAUGUCCUGACGCUGAGGAGCGAAAGUGUGGGGAGCGAACAGG